AGGAUUAACGCUGGCGGCGUGCCUAACACAUGCAAGUCGAACGAGGUAGCAAUACCUAGUGGCAGACGGGUGAGUAGCGCGUGGUCAACCUACCGUUGAGUGGGGGAUAACUAGCCGAAAGGUUAGCUAAUACCGCAUACGUCUCCGAGGGGCAUCCCUUGGUGAUAAAAGGAGCAAUCCGCUCGAUGACGGGACCGCGUCCCAUUAGCUAGUUGGUGGGGUAACGGCCUACCAAGGCAUCGAUGGGUAGCUGGUUUGAGAGAGCGACCAGCCACACUGGGACUGAGAUACGGCCCAGACUCCUACGGGAGGCAGCAGUGAGGAAUUUUCCGCAAUGGGCGAAAGCCUGACGGAGCGACGCCGCGUGUGGGAAGAAGGCCUUCGGGUCGUAAACCACUGUCGAAGGGGAGAUAAUGACGGUACCCUUGGAGGAAGCCCCGGCUAACUACGUGCCAGCAGCCGC
rnacentral:rRNA from 1 species